GGGCAGCGCGCCAAUGAGAACGCGGCAGAGGCAGCGGGCGCUCAAUGGGAGCCGAGAGCAGCGCGCGGGCAGCCAAUGGGAGGGCGCUGCCGACCGCGGAGCUGCUACAUCCUCUACUGCUCCUGACCCCUUGUCUUGACUUCUGAGCUGGCCCUUAAACCUGCCUCACCACAGCAGACUCAUCUGGAAAUCUGGACUUCUGUCUGGCCCGCCUGCUGCCACUGGCUCUGCCCCGCUCUUCUGUUUGGGUGCUGUGAGAGUGUGCCUUUUCCAGCAAGGCCACUGCCCCACUCUCCUGGUCACACUCCGCUCCUGGCCCUUCUGCCCUUUAAGGGCAGCCUGUUCCCCACUGCUUCCUGACAGCAUAACUGUGUUCACCUGUAAGCUUGUUGCUUGGGGCUUUUUAAAAUUAUUGGUUUUUUAUUUGAUAAAUGUUGUAUAUGCUUUCAAAAUCGAAAAAAAAAACUCCGAUGUUUUGGGGUUUUUUUGAAAUUGUUUUUGUGUGUUGUCAACAACAUAUGCAGACGUAAAUAGCAGUCUUCUGAAUUUUAUUAAACCUUUGCAUAUCUGAUCAAGAAAAAGUACCAAAAUGACUAAGCUAGUUUGGUGAGAUAAUCCAUAUUACUGCCUUCUUUUCCAUGAUGCAGGAUUAUGAAUGACUUUCCAACAUCUUUUGUAUUUACUUUCCAUGCUGUAGAAGAUAGUAUGACAUAGACAUGCAUGACAUCAUUGCUACUGAUCUAAAAGAAUGUACUUGCAACAAAAAUUAAAAAUCAGCCACCUGAAGCCAACAGAAUUAUAACCAUGUUCUCCUACUGUGCCAGUAGAAAAGCACUUUUCAGGAUUACACCUUACAAAUGAUGAAAGAAAGCUGAAAGGUAAAAUUUAACAACCAGUUGCUAGAUUUUCAAAAUUUUAAAACAGAAUCUGAGGAUGUAAUACAGUCCUACUUUUUAAAAGAAUUAUUUUAGGUUAAAUUCAGGGACCUUGUUUAAUCUAUACUGGAAAAUGUAUUUAUCUCCUAAGGAUGUUUCUGGAUCCGAGUGCAAAUUUAAAUUUACGUCAAGUUCAGAUGACCUCCUCUUGCAGAUCAGUUUGAUGACUAAUUUAGUUGCCUUUAGUAGCAUUUAAUAGCCUAAGAUUUACUACUACUCCUAAUUAAUCAGUACAGUUUCUUCUGUAGUGGUUGUCAGUAGCAUUAUUCUUUUUCUUCAGCUUUAAGAGGCUUCAGAUCUGAUUAUCCUGUCACUGGGUGUACAUGUGGAAAUUCUUAUAAAGCAUCGCUAUUAUCUCUUUGCAAGAAAGGAGCUGCUGUUGCAAUGGAAUUGACUGCAAUCAUUUUAUAUGGAUUUCUCAAAGAGUUUGCAGUAAGAAUAUUAAAGUUGUUGGUGGAUCUUGUUCUAGAUCUCUUAGGUAAUUAAUUAUAGUCUUCUACCAGUUUAUUCUCCAGACGUGUGAUUGCCACCAUUUGCACCCCCGCUUGUGAGAAUGCAAGUCACUCUCUCCUUUUAUGACUGAAGAAACAGUGGUAUUUUCAAUAGAUUCUGUAAUAGAGACUGCUUUUUGUAUGUUUGAACUAAUACACCAGAAUGAAUGCUGCACCUUGUCACAGUAGACACAGAAUGGGAAACCUAACAAAGGAGGAGUCCAUUUACUAAAGAUGCUAUUACCAAAGAAACCUAGAAUAACUCAGAAGAACCAUGUAGCAGCAACAUGCAAGGAUGUUGGUAGGGAGAGGACAAAUGCUUCCUUUUCCUCCCAUUCAGCAUGUGAGUCUAUUUUGACGGGAAUUUGGAGUUGAGUCUCUCUUGCCAUUUCUCACUUAUGCAGAAGUGGAAUCUCCUAGGGAAGGAAGCAUGUGUGUUCUCUGAUGAUUCUCCUGGUUUUAAGUCAGUGUAUCAAAUUUAGUGUUCUGGUUUUGUCUCAAUAGACCCAACAACUUCUUUAUUUCUGUUACUUCUGAGUAAUUCUUAGGCAAUCAUACCUGUGGUAGCUUUUUUUCUCAAGCUUCCUAGAGAGACAGCCUAUUAUGUUAGUUCAAUGACUUAAAAUAAAUGAAACAGCCAGAUACUAAGGAUGCUUCUUAAAAUGUGGAAUUUCCAAGAAUAUUAAAUGAAUCAUAAGUCCAUUUUGAAUGAAAUUCAAUGGAAACCAGGCUUCUAAGUCACUAAAAUAUUCAGUGCAGUUUUCAGAAGCAACUGGCUGCAUCUUUGGGUACCUAAACUCAUUGAAAAUAUAGCUUAAACCAGCAUUUUUGAGAAGACAAAGUCAUGUGCUGUAAUGACGUGUUCUGCAAAGCACAACGUUGAGAUGACGUUACUGAAAAAAAAAUAUAUUGAUUUUAUUUUGUUGCCAAGUACAAAAUAGCAAAGGUCAAAAACAACACUCAGGUAUAAGAGAGUGUGACAUAUCCUAAAUGAAGGUUUGCUAACUGGAAAGUUCUUCUUUGCCGUAUUUGUGUGUCAGGGUUCAGGGAUAAAUGAAUCUCUACCAAAGUGUUGUCUUGAUAUUUUAUAUACCAAUGUUGUGGAAAGUUUUUUACAUUGAAUGAUUAGAAGAAGUUAUUCCUAAUUCAAUUUCCAAAAGAAUCCACAGGAGCCCAACCAAAAUACACUUGUCAGCUUGGAGAUGACAACUGUCUUCUUGUAAUCUCUCAAUUUGAUCUACGGUAUCCAAGAGAACUUAAUAUGAGAUAACAAACACUCUGAAGAACUGAAAGAUAUAAACAAAACUAUCAAAGUCUGUUUUUUAAAGUAGCUUGAUAAAGGCAAAUGUUGCAAUUGCAUUUAAGUUGCAGAUCUCUCUGGGUCUUACAAUAUCUGUGGCAUUGUAGCAAUUUCAAUUAUUAAGAACUACAGAACUACAUUUAUAUCCCAAUUAGCUGUUUUUCUGAAUAUACUGAAUAUCUCCGAUAGAACAGUCAUGGAAAUUAGGGUACAGUCAGUACUUCACUCCAAACUUAGGUAAACCCCACAUGCACUAAAACCACUGCUGUGUUGAUGGAAAGAAUACGAGGAGCUGAGACACCAUCAUCAACCCUCCUGGAAAUCUGUUACUCAAGAGAGAGGAAUGCAGGUAAAAUUUGGAAUCAUUAGAGCACAAGGAAGAAAAGAAAUUGACAAAACAGUGUAAUAUAUUUGCAGCAAUUUAGUAUUCAUGGCACUCUUCUGACCUGGGCCCAUUAGGUUUGUGUUCUAAUACACGUUUGCUGUGUACGUAUGGCAUGCACCUAGUGCAGCAUCAGGAUGCAAAUGAAAUGGCUAAAUCAAGUCAUUUCAGUUUGUAUCAGCCAAGCCACCCCAUCGUGCAGCACAAGGCAGUGGGGAUGAAGAGCUCCUGUGUAUGAUCUGAACAUUCGCGGCUCCUUCUCCUGGCAGCAGGGUGGAGCUGUGCCAGUACACAAUAUUCCCUAGAAACUGGAAGAUGAGUUGCUUCAUCUCUGUAAGGACACUGUUGGCUCAUCAGAGAUUAUAAUUAUGCUUCUUGUUUUCUCUUAUCUGUUUUGGAAGGAGUUCCUUUCAUCAGAUGUGUCUCUGUGGGAAUAUGCUAUUCAUUCUCUGGUGACCUUGCUACAGAUGUUCAUCUUUAUUUUACUUAGAGAAUUUAUUAACAGCUUAUUCUGUCUAUUGUCAUCUGCCAAGCAUUCUCCCAUGUUUGCAGUAUAAAGUUAGACAUAAAAUGAAAAAACAAUACUAGAGAUAACUCUGAGGAACUAAUUUAUCAAAUGCAGUAAAGAAGAGGGAACAAAAUGAACAAAAGCAAUAGGGGUUAUCUUUACUGCAUAGCUUUGGAUGGUGUUUCCAGUGAUAACGAUGGCUGAGAGCAGAGAGUGUUUGGAAUAGGCAAAGGAUGUUUUUUUGGCCAACAUGAUGUAGUAUCUGGAAAGUAGUAUAUAUUAAAAGUACAUAAGAAAAAAAAU